rnacentral:rRNA from 1 species
UACAGAGGUCUCAAGCGUUGCUCGGAAUUACUGGGCGUACAGCGCACGUAGGCGGCUUUGUAAUUUAGAGGUGAAAGCCCGGGGCUCAACUCCGGAACUGCCUUUAAGACUGCAUCGCUUGAAUCCGGGAGAGGUGAGUGGAAUUCCGAGUGUAGAGGUGAAAUUCGUAGAUAUUCGGAAGAACACCAGUGGCGAAGGCGGCGCACUGGACCGGUAUUGACGCUGAGGUGCGAAAGCGUGGGGAGCAAACAGG